rnacentral:misc_RNA from 1 species
UCCGGCUUAUCACCGGCAGUCCCACUAGAGUGCCCAACUGAAUGAUGGCAACUAAUGGCGAGGGUUGCGCUCGUUGCGGGACUUAACCCAACAUCUCACGACACGAGCUGACGACAGCCAUGCAGCACCUGUGUAUCCUGAUAUUGCUAUCUCGUCAGGCUUUCACCCUUCUACUAGAUACAUGUCAAGGCCAGGUAAGGUUCUUCGCGUUGCAUCGAAUUAAGCCACAUACUCCACCGCUUGUGCAGGCCCCCGUCAAUUUCUUUGAGUUUUAAUCUUGCGACCGUACUUCCCAGGCGGCAUAUUUAUCGCGUUAGCUCCGGGACGACCCGCCUACGCGAGCCACCCCAAGUCCUGAUGGUUUAGGGCGUGGACUAC